UACGGAGGGGGCUAGCGUUGUUCGGAAUUACUGGGCGUAAAGCGCGUGUAGGCGGCUUUGCAAGUCGGGUGUGAAAGCCCUCAGCUCAACUGAGGAAGUGCGCCCGAAACUGCAGAGCUUGAGUGCCGGAGAGGGUGGCGGAAUUCCCCAAGUAGAGGUGAAAUUCGUAGAUAUGGGGAGGAACACCGGUGGCGAAGGCGGCCACCUGGACGGUAACUGACGCUGAGACGCGAAAGCGUGGGGAGCAAACAGG
rnacentral:rRNA from 1 species